rnacentral:rRNA from 1 species
ACUACGGGAGGCAGCAGUGAGGAAUAUUGGUCAAUGGACGAGAGUCUGAACCAGCCAAGUAGCGUGAAGGAUGACUGCCCUAUGGGUUGUAAACUUCUUUUAUAGGGGAAUAAAAUGUGCCACGUGUGGGAUUUUGUAUGUACCAUAUGAAUAAGGAUCGGCUAACUCCGUGCCAGCAGCCGCGGUAAUACGGAGGAUCCGAGCGUUAUCCGGAUUUAUUGGGGUUAAAGGGAGCGUAGGUGGAUUGUUAAGUCAGUUGUGAAAGUUUGCGGCUCAACCGUAAAAUUGCAGUUGAAACUGGCAGUCUUGAGUACAGUAGAGGUGGUCGGAAUUCGUUGUGUAGCGGUGAACUGCUUAGAUAUCACGAAGAACUCCGAUUGCGAAGGCAGCUCACUGGACUGCAACUGACACUGUGGCUCUAAAGUGUGGGUAUCAAACAGGCUUAGAUACCCGUGUAGUC